rnacentral:rRNA from 1 species
AAAUAGUACUUUGCAGAGAGAGUUAACAGGGCGUGAAACCGUUAAUUGGCAAACGAAUCGGAGCCACGAAGUCGUUUCGCUGAGCCGGGUUGAGUUCAGCCUGGGACCUAGGUCCCAGGUGUAUUCUUGGCCCAGCCGUUGUAAGCGUACACUGCAACCAGUUAGACGAUUGGGGAUGGGCCCAGCUGCUGGGGUUAGUAGUAGCGUGUUGCAUUUCGGUGCAUCAUGUUGCUGGGCCCCAGCAAGUGAACUAUCCCCAAAUACUGACUGGCAAAAUGAAAAUCGCGAAAGCGUUUCACACAAUGCGGCCAGGCACAUGGGUGCCUACGUAGCCGACCAUAGGGUUUAAGCUCGGCAUUCUUGAAUUUAGGCUUGCUCGCUACCAAUGGGGCAACUCUUGGUGCUUGUACAGUUUCUAUCUAAUCGGGUGUUGACUUGAUCCUGUGUCGUUCGGUUGCGCUAUGAUAGGGCGCCUAUGCGACCUGGUUUGCAAUUAUUGGCAGUGAGUAGGUCGGCUUUCCGAACGACCCGUCUUGAAACACGGACCAAGGAGUCUAAUUAGGCAUCAAGUCGAUCGGUCUUGAAUAGGCCAGACUCGGGGGCUCCCCCGGAUUGAAGGCGUAGAGACAUGUGAUCGUUGGACAAUACCAGUCCUUGCGCGCAACAUGUGCCUGUUCGUAUAGCAAUGUAGCAAUAAUGCUGGGCGGAGCAAAGAGAUGUCUGAUUGGUACCCGAAAGAUGGUGAUGCCUGGGCAAGUUGAAGCCAGAGGAAACUCUGGUGGAGGACUGUAGCGAUUCUGACGUGCAAAUCGAUCGUCAGACCUGGGUAUAGGGGCGAAAGACUAAUCGAACCAUC